rnacentral:rRNA from 1 species
CCUACGGGAGGCAGCAGUGAGGAAUAUUGGUCAAUGGACGAGAGUCUGAACCAGCCAAGUAGCGUGAAGGAUGACUGCCCUAUGGGUUGUAAACUUCUUUUAUAUGGGAAUAAAAUGUUCCACGUGUGGGAUUUUGUAUGUACCAUAUGAAUAAGGAUCGGCUAACUCCGUGCCAGCAGCCGCGGUAAUACGGAGGAUCCGAGCGUUAUCCGGAUUUAUUGGGUUUAAAGGGAGCGUAGGUGGAUUGUUAAGUCAGUGGUGAAAGUUUGCGGCUCAACCGUAAAAUUGCAGUUGAAACUGGCAGUCUUGAGUACAGUAGAGGUGGGCGGAAGUCGUGGUGUAGCGGUGAAAUGCUUAGAUAUCACGAAGAACGCCGAUUGCGAAGGCAGUUCACUGGACUGCAACUGACACUGAGGCUCGAAAGUGUGGGUAUCAAACAGGAUUAGAUACCCGUGUAGUC